AGUGAACGCUGGCGGCAGGCCUAACACAUGCAAGUCGAACGGCAGCACAGGAGAGCUUGCUCUCUGGGUGGCGAGUGGCGGACGGGUGAGGAAUACAUCGGAAUCUGCUCAGUCGUGGGGGAUAACGUAGGGAAACUUACGCUAAUACCGCAUACGACCUUCGGGUGAAAGAGGGGGAUCGCAAGACCUCUCGCCAUUGGAUGAGCCGAUGUCGGAUUAGCUAGUUGGCGGGGUAAUGGCCCACCAAGGCGACGAUCCGUAGCUGGUCUGAGAGGAUGAUCAGCCACACUGGAACUGAGACACGGUCCAGACUCCUACGGGAGGCAGCAGUGGGGAAUAUUGGACAAUGGGCGAAAGCCUGAUCCAGCCAUGCCGCGUGAGUGAAGAAGGCCUUCGGGUUGUAAAGCCCUUUUGUUGGGAAAGAAAACUUUCAGGCUAAUACCCUGGGAGGAUGACGGUACCCAAAGAAUAAGCACCGGCUAACUUCGUG
rnacentral:rRNA from 1 species